ACUCACGCACUCAGCCUGCUAGGCAAGUCACCUCGGCUCUGCGCUCUUGGCCGCUUCCAAGACCUCCAGUCUUCUUUAACCGGAUAAACCCAGGAGCCGGGAAGCUAGGGUGCAGGCGUGAUCCUCCAACCCUUGAGAGCUAUGGACCUCCUGGAGUACUGGAAAAGAGAUCGUUGGGUUCUCGGACUGUUGACCUGCGUCCUUCCAAGCUGAUAAGCCCAGGACCCUAGGACGGGAUGCUAGGACUCCUGUGUGGCGCCUUGCUUUGAACCCUUUCCCAAGGGCUGUUUCCCAGAUGAGCCUUUGCCGCAAGGCCCUCUUGACACCAAGGAUGACGACGCAAAACCUGCGGCAGCCAACACCCCUCUCCCCACUCUCCGCACUCACUGGUGGGUGCCACCAUCCAGGAAGCAAGUAUCCCGAAUUGACAGCUUGGUGCAGAGGGGACAUGAGAGGUGUCUCUGUCCAGCUAGGAAGCAGCUGGACCACAGCGCUCCCAAGGAACGUACUCCCCAACAUCAGUGUGGAGCGACCAGAGAGCAUGACCAUCUCGCAGUGAUCGCCUGCAGGGGCCUUAGCCAGGUGAUGGUGGUGGUACCCAGGAAGAGCAAGGUUGCUGGCACGCAACAUGCCUGCAGCCCUUGAUGCUGUUGGCUCACCAGCACGGAGCACCUUUUUACUUUGGUAGGUAUGCAGAGGGAAGGGCCUUGACUCUGGAGACUUGGGGACCAAAGUUAGAGACUCGCUAGGUCUGUCCCUCCCUUUAGAGCCACAGAAUGCCACGUGGCACUGAGGUUCUUGCUCUCACAAAUAAGCACUCGGGAAACCAGCCGUGUUAAACACGCAGGUUGUCUCUUCAAAGGGAGAGACAUAUAUCCUGUUUUCCUCCCAGAAGGCUGGGAGCGGAGGUGUUUAAUAUCCUGGCGAACUUUGUGCUAUCUGUAUGACCAAGACCAUGUCAGAGCCUCCCCUAGAGCCUUAAGGUAUCAUCUAUAAUGGGUCAGCUAGGUGGGGGGGGGGGGGCGCAUGCCUUUACUUCCGGUAUUCUUCUCCUAAACCCUUAAGAUGUCAUAUGUAAUCAGUCACCUGGGUGGUGGUGGUGCAUGCCUUUAUUUCCAGGACUUGGGUGGCAAAGGUGGGUGGAUCUCUGAGUUCGAGGCCAGCCUGGUCUACAGAGUGAGUCCAGGUCAGCCAGGACUACACAGAGAAAUCUUCUGUCUCAAAUAAACAAAACAAAACAAAAAAUAAAUAAUUUAAAAAAAAGAUGUCACGUGUAGUCAAUUAUCUUUAUGGAAAAUGUCAUGACUUAAGCUUUAUUAUGUUAAACUACCUGGUAUCAGACUCUUGAAGUUUGAACCAACACUUAGCCGGGCGAUGGUGGCGCACGCCUUUAAUCCCAGCACUUGGGAGGCAGAGACAGGUGAAUCUUUGAGUUAGAGGCUAGCCUGGUCUACCGAGUGAGUCCGGGACAGCCAGGAUUACACAGAGAAACCCUGUCUCAAACAUAGAAUUAAGUAAACUAAAGUAAUAAAGACAUUUGAAUCAACACUGGCUACUGAGUCAUGUUGAACCAGAUGGCCUUUUUUACCUUACUUGGGUUACCACCCUGGCUGUUUGAGAUACCUGCAAGGACCCCCCACAAUGGCGACCAACAUGAGAGUCUCCAGUCUUGGAGUAGGUAAGAGAAUUUUUCUCUAGUCACCCAGGAGCAGUGCGUGCUCUCACCCAGGAGGUAACAGGUAAGUGGGAAGAUAGAAUAUGCCUGGAUUCUUCCCAGUCCUGAAACAAAGCUUUUUUUUUUUUUUUUUUUUUUUUACAAUUACUGAGCUGUUGGUUAAGAUCCAGAGGAGGGAAAUAGUUAGAGCAACAGAGCUGCAGCUCUGCACAAGUGUCAGUCAGAUUCAGUCCCUUGGCUUCCUGAACAAGAAAUGAUUGAUGUUGAAAAUUGGAAAUGCAGCCAGGUGGUGGUGACGGUCUAUAGACAGGACUACCAGGCCUAAAUAAACAGGGUCAACUGGACCCCUAAGAAAGAUGAGAUAAAAUGCGUGCCGAUUAUUUUGCUAGGUGAAGUUCACGUAUUGUCCUGUGUGGCGCGCAGUCUCUCUCGGGAGGGAGGAUCAUUAAAGAAGGUUUUGUUUUCUCUGUAGGUUGCCGUGGACUCCGCUGCUGGCGCUCCGCAGAAGCCACCUGGAGGAUGACCAGCCAGGAUUGUUCAGGGCUUUCAUUGUCUUGGUCACAUUGCUUCAUUGUCUUUGUCUGUCCAACCGUCUGUCUAAUCAGCCUUAGCAAAAUAAGCUAUUUUAUCUUGUCCUUUCGAUUAAAAAAAACAACAAAAGACAGACUUCAAGCCGUUUUGGCACCCAGAGACCAAACCCCACCCAGAGUCUUUGUUUUUAUGAUUACUAAAACUUCAUGUCUUAAAUUUAUAUCUUUGUAAAACAGAAAAAAAUUUAAAUAGCAAUGUGAUCAAACUUGGAUUUUAAAAAAAAUAGGGGCAAAUUGGAACCAAGAAGGAAUAUUUCUUAUGGAUAAUACGGUGGCCAAGGACUGAAAAACAGAAGUGUAGUCGAUAGGAGUUAGAUUACUUGAAAGUUUCCACCUAAGAUUUUUUUGGUACAGCCUGAGAAUAGGUGGGAUGUAGUAAGGAAUAGAACGGUCCAGAAAGUUCUUCUUCCAUGGAAAUGUUAUUCUUCGAUACUGUUCACAUGUUUGUUUUGUUUGCAGUGUCAACCGGACAUGUUCUUUCACACUCUCGUGGGACAACCCAGUUGUUUCCCACUUCGGGAUGUUCUGUGAUGGUUCCUCAGGUACUUUGUAAUCUCCUGUUAACCUGAUAGGAGAGUCUUCUUUCUUUCUUUCUUUCUUUCUUUCUUUCUUUCUUUCUUUCUUUCUUUCUUUCUUUCUUUCUUUCUUUCUUUCUUUCCUUCCUUCCUUCCUUCCUUCCUUCUUUCCUUCUUUCCUUCUUUCCUUCUUCUUCUUCCUCUUCCUCUUCUUCCUCUUCUUCCUCUUCUUCCUCUUCCUCUUCUUCUUCUUCCUUCUCCUUCUCUUACUCCUCCUCCUUCUCCUCCUCCUCCUUCUUCUCCUUCUCCUCCUCCUUCUAUUCCUCCUUCUCCUCUUCCUCCUCCUCCUUCUCCUCCUCCUCCUCCUUCUCCUUCUUUUUAAAGAUUUAUUUGUUAUUAUGUGUAAGUACACUGUAGCUGUCUUCAGACACUCCAGGAGAGGUUAUCAGAUCUUAUUACAGAUGGUUGUGGGCCACCAUAUGGUUGCUAGGAAUUAACUCAGGACCUCUGGAAGGGCAGUCAGUGCUCUUAACUGCUGAGCCACCUCUCCAGCCCUUAUCUUUAAUUUCUAAUAACUAAUGAUAUUGCAUAUAUUUCCCCUUACCAUUCCUCUCUUGUGUGGCAAAUGUUUGUUCAAAGCCAUUGUACAAUUUUUACUGCUGGUAGUAGCUUUCUUAUUUUUGAGGGCUUUGCUUUAUUUUAGUAGUUUUUUUUUUAAUGUAGCAAGAUAACAUAAUAUCACCAUUUUAGCCAUUUACCUAAGCAAGCCUCAAACUUGCCAUGCUGGUCUUGAACUCAUAAUCUUCCUGCCCCCAGCCUAAGCGCUGGGCUAUAGGGACAUGCCAUCAUUGGCGCUGUUUUGUUUGUACAUUUGCUUUUUCUUAAAAAAGAUUUAUUUAUUUAUUUAUUAUCUGUAAGUACACUGUAGCUGUCUUCAGACACCCCAGAAAUGGACAUCAGGUCCCAUUAUAGAUGGUUGUGAGCCACCAUGUGGUUGCUGGGAUUUGAACUCCGGACCUUCAGAAGAGCAGUCAGUGCUCUUAAUCUCUGAGCCAUCUCUCCAGCCCCCAGGAGAGUCUUCUUGAACUCAAAAUUCAAAUUGCCCUAAAAUGUAAAGAUCCCAAAUCUUACAUAAAUAGCCUUAGGUUUAAAUCUUUCAAAGUUAAUGUGAAUUAAGUAGGAUUUGCUUGUGGUUUAGUUUUGUGCCUGCCCUUGGUCUGACGUAAAGGAGCAGACAAGGGAAGAAGUUAGGGGAGGCUCAAGAGCCCUGCCUUCUGUUCAAGGCUCAUGUUACACAGUAUUCCAAGUUUCUAGUGCAUAUUAGUAGUGAGAGGUUCUCGCAUCAGUGUGACAUCUACAACUGUGUCUGGGGCCUUGUCUUCUGUCUGUAGAGACCUGUGCUCGUGUACACUGCAGGCAUGUAUUAUGCCUCUCCCUAAUUAGACAGCAGGAGAAUACAGCCCCAAGCAUGGCAUAGGGUCCUGGGGGCUCCAGGAAAACACCAUUCUGUCAUAUCUUCAACUUGACUUUGUCAGAUAGCUCUUUACACAUUUCUUUCUAGGACUCCCAUUACGACUAAAAACUGAUAAAUGGACUUGCUGAUACUGGCAAAUGAUUAAAAAAUUUUUGAAGUUUAUGGAAUAUUAAUCAUGCUACUGAACUCCCUUACAGUUGACAGUAUCAAACUAUUGUAAAACAGCACAAUUCAAUACUCAAAUUACAAAUUUGAAUUCCCACAUCUUACUUUUAGCUAGGCUAACUCUAAAUUUUUUCACUUUAGAGCCGAGCAAUGGUGGCACACGCCUUUAGUCCCAGCACUUGGGAGGCAGAGACAGGCAGAUUUCUGAGUUCGAGGCCAGCCUACAACUGAGUGAGUUCCAGGACAGCCAGGGCUACACUGAGAAACCUGUCUUGAAAAAAAUUAAUUAAUUAAUUAAUUAAAAUUUUUUUUCACUUUAAAAGAGAGUGCUUUUUCUACUUCCAAAAAAAUUUUGCCCAAGGGAGACACUACCUAGAGUAUAUAUUUAAAACAAAAACAAAACCAAAAACCCACAAAAAGCAAAAAACCUAACAACUAAUCAAUGGGAAAUGCCCGGUGUCCUGCCAUCGAGGCGAGGUUAUGCUUAUGUCUUCCAGAAAAUGAAGUCCCAGAUGGCUCCUGCUGUGACAUUUCAGACAAGGACUGCAUCCCAGAGACCACCAGACAAGCAAGGGGUUGAAGCUAGACGACAAACCCAUCAAGAGGAGACGUCCCAAGAGGACAAGGAAGCCAAUAACGUGGAGAGACUUAACUGGUCAAGCCAAGACUUUGGGGAAGCAAGAAGGACCUGAUACUGCUGACCCCAAAAUGAUGCUGUUAUGUUUACUGACUGUAUUUCAUGUUGAUUCUCAGCCUGUCGGUGCAGAAUCCAAAUGCCUUUUGUCAAAAGGAGGGAUAAAGGGUGCACCUGUAAUAGGACACAGUAUAACAUUGUAUUGCUGUGCUAAUCAUUGUUUUUAUUCUUUGGGACCAGCUGUCCAGGCAAAAAGAAGAGUAUCCAAACAUUUAGACACAUGAAUGGGUGGCAGCUUGGUUAGACUAACUGAGUCGUUCAAAUGUAAUAAUACAGAUUUUAGCUUAAUGCAGAACUCUUUAGAAAGCUCAGAUGGAAGAAAUUAUAGUUGUAUGGAAAUGAGAAAGGGAAUAAGUGAUGUAUGGCUUGCUACGAUUCAACCAACACCAGUUACUAAGUAGGGUUGAGUGGGGCUGCCUUCUUGUCUCCAGGCGAAUCAUUACAUUAGUCUGCUGGCCUUGGUGGAGGAAGUAUGCCACUGAGGGAGGGGAGAGCCUUGAGAGUUUAAAAGCCUCGCCUUGCUUCCAGUGUAGUCUCUGCUCUAAGCUUGACCUUCAAGGUGUGAUUGCUCAGUUUCAUGCCCCUGCCACCAUGCCUGCUGUGUGCUCUCAUGCCUUACCGCUGUAAUGGACUCACCUCUCUUCUGGAACCACAAAAUAAACACUGUCUUCCUUAAGUUGCCUUCGGUCACAUGUUUUAUCACGACGGAGAAGUACCUAAGACAGGCGGUGAAAGGCUGUUGUCAGAGAGCACAGUGCAGAUUUCCGAAGUCAGCACUCAGUAAGGGACAGUUCUUCCUAACUCAGCCCUUUGUUUAGUUACUGAAUGCGUCUCAUCCCUGGCCCAGCCUCUCCUGUCUCCCAGUUGCUCUUAGCUUCUUGCAUCCUGUCUGGCUCUCGGCUAAGCAAGGGACAUGGAUGAGACUCCCAUUUCUCUUCCACCAAACCAGCCCCUCCUCCCUCCCCUUGUGCAAUAAACUUCCAUGGGCACCCCAGCCCCCAGCCA